AACGAACGCUGGCGGCAUGCCUAACACAUGCAAGUCGAACGAAACCUUCGGGUCUAGUGGCGCACGGGUGCGUAACGCGUGGGAACCUGCCCUUAGGUUCGGAAUAACUCCCCGAAAGGGGUGCUAAUACCGGAUAAUGUCUUCGGACCAAAGAUUUAUCGCCUUUGGAUGGGCCCGCGUUGGAUUAGCUAGUUGGUAGGGUAAAAGCCUACCAAGGCGACGAUCCAUAGCUGGUCUGAGAGGAUGAUCAGCCACACUGGGACUGAGACACGGCCCAGACUCCUACGGGAGGGAGCAGUGGGGAAUAGUGGACAAUGGGCGAAAGCCUGAUCCAGCAAUGCCGCGUGAGUGAUGAAGGCCUUAGGGUUGUAAAGCUCUUUUACCCGGGAUGAUAAUGACAGUACCGGGAGAAUAAGCUCCGGCUAACUCCGUG
rnacentral:rRNA from 1 species